UACGAAGGGGGGCUAGCGUUGCUCGGAAUCACUGGGCGUAAAGCGCACGUAGGCGGCUUCUUAAGUCAGGGGUGAAAUCCUGGAGCUCAACUCCAGAACUGCCUUUGAUACUGAGGAGCUUGAGUCCGGGAGAGGUGAGUGGAACUGCGAGUGUAGAGGUGAAAUUCGUAGAUAUUCGCAAGAACACCAGUGGCGAAGGCGGCUCACUGGGUCAUUACUGACGCUGAGGCACGAAAGCGUGGGGAGCAAACAGGG
rnacentral:rRNA from 1 species